CCGUAGCAAACCACAGAACGAAAGAGGAGCGGUGUGCUUUUGCUUGGGCUGUGUCGCUGCGAGUGAUUUUGGGAUGGACUUGGUGAGCAAGGAGGGCAAGGGGAAGGUCUCGUGGCGAUCAAAAGUGGCGACUUCGGUAGCGGGUUCGCUAGGGCGGCGGCCUGCAUCAGAUAUUGUCGACACUUGUACUUUCAACAAGGAGGAAGAAACAAUGCCUUUGAUGUGUUCUAUUUCCUCCGAAGAUUACAAUAGAGAGAAAGAAAGCCGGAUGGGGAAGGAAUAAGAAAAAGGAUCAGAAAACGAAGGCUGUACGGGGAAGCCCCCAAACUCCAUCUCUUCUCUAAUCUUCGAACACUGCCUCGAGAGAUGUUUCUUCUCCUCGUCUAAGAAACCAGAAGAGAAGGUAUCAGUUUCUUG